UCUGUGGACGGUCAGAGGAGUCGCCCGCCCCGUCACCGUGGGGGAGCUCCAGGAGCUCCAUCUUCAUUCCCGUCUCGGGCUAGGACUCCUUGAACACUAGAGUUUUCUGCGCUCCCAGCAACCACGAGCGCCCGAGUGGCAUCACGCGGCCCCAAGGGCAAGACCUCUGUGGGCCCUGGGGUGCCAGAGCUCCGGCCUGCCCAGAAGAGCUGUGACAUGGGCGCCGCCAUCUUGCUGGCAGGACAGAAGGAAUGCUGGGACCGAGUCGUCGUACCCCAGACCGCUCAGAACCUGUCUCCUACCCGACCUGGGACACAGCAGUGCCCAUCUUAAAGUGUUGUAAUGAAGACAGAAUGAGUUAAUGUAUGUGAAGAACCGAAAACAGUUGUUGGCACGCAAUAAGUACUCAACAGGUAAUCAGCAUAUCAGCGCCCCAACUCUGGAAUUCUAGAAUAACUUUGAGUCAACGUGGGAAAUUUGGAGAAAAUGUUUGCAGCAAUGCCACAAACACACAUACAACUCAAUAUGC